GCCCUCUCUGUCACACACACACACACACCACAGACACACACCCCUGAUCUCUCACACUCUCUGGCUGCCAUGUAAACAAACCUGGCUCCUCUCUGUCCCUCCAUAAGUCUCCCCACGUCUCCAUCAUCACCUCCGUCUCCCAAUGAGCUCGGGUCCAUCGCUAUAGCAACCGGUUGCCACGGGCGACGAGACACAGCCAGCACCAGCCAGCAUCCUCCUCACAGUUGUUGAAGACAGAGAGGAGAGAGGAGGCACGGCGCAAGCAGCAGAAGAACACGCUUCCACCUCGCCAAAAUAAAACCAGUGAAACAGAAAAUAAAAUCCAGUCCAACGUCUGGAUUCUCCUGCUGACGAUUGUUUCUGCUUCCACCUCUGUGGAGGAAUCCAGAGGGUGAGAGGAUGAUGACAACUUGUUCUUCCAGGAAAGUGUUGCUUCAGUGCUCGGCUGUGUCGGAGAGUAGGUGGUGACCCUGACACCAAGGCCGCCGCCGCCGCUGCUGUAGGCCUCUCCUCUCUCACUCCAAUCUUCUGCCACAGAGAUGAUGGUUUCCUGUCGACCCUCUCCCACUGGACAGAAGAAGAGGACAGUCUGAACCAACCAAUCAUUCCCCGUCUCAACAUGGCCGACGACCUCUACAGCAGCACCUUCUCUGCGUCUGAAUCAGACUUCUCCUCCUCCUCUUCUUCCUCCUCAGCAUCGGCCUCAUUCCUCACAGUUGAGCAGAGGGCGGCCUUUGUUUUCGUCCUCAUCCUUUUCAUCUUCCUGGGCCUGCUGAUCGUCCGCUGUUUCCGGAUCCUUCUCGACCCGUACCGGAGCAUGCCAUCCUCCACCUGGUCGGACUACAUGGAGAAGGACACCUUCGACUACCGAAUUUCCUGACAGGCAGCCUGAGAGGCAGCAACCCUGGCAGUGAACAGGUUAAACUGAGGCGACCAUCACACUGAGAAAGUGAAGCAGACAUACAAGCGCACGUUUUCCCUCGAGUGCUCAGUACAGCAUUGUACAGGAGAACAAGCAGACUAGUAGCUGGUCGACUGGCAUGGUGGGACGUUACCACCUGACAGUACGAGUAUGCCGUGGCUCUCCAGUCUUCUGACCCUACUGGCUGUAAACUGGUGAAACUGGUCAGGAGGUUGUCUGAGUAUCUGCUGAGCUAAGCUCCAAAACUCUUUACUACCAAUAAAAGAAGCUGCUGCAGUUCAAAUCUUCUCUGAUCCACGAUCGGCCAAUUAAAAACCACAAUAUGACAGAAACCAAAUGGUUUUGGUGUUUGACUCACAACCUGCCCUGCUUCGUGUCACCUUAGCACCCUGGUUUCCAACCGGGACUCCUCAAGGGCUGGCAGGAUAAAUCUGGUUUUUCUUAGUUUACUGUGAAAUCUGGACUGUGUCAUGCCCCUUUAAAGCCCAUCAAAUCAAGCAAUCUGAGAGGAAACACUACUUUACUCUUGACUUUAGAACAUCACGGUCACAUACGAGCGUUUGGCCUCGUGGCCUUCUCCACUGACCACAUGUGACCACCUAUUAUUUGCUCCUGUCGUGGUCCGUUUACCUGAAGCUACAACUUCAGAAAAGUGGGAAAGCAGCAGUUUGGGAAACGUGCGCAUUGUGUUUUUCCUGCCUCCUGUCUGGUUGUCGUCUCAGUCUGCCUGGCAGGCAGCACAUCUGGGCAAGGAGAGUUUGUAAAAUUAAACCAAAUAGAUGCAGGAUUAGUGGAGAAAUGCAACAAAAUAAACCAAGUUAGUUUUGAUUAGUGAAAUGUGUCAAACUGACAGAAAGAGAAAUGAUGUCUGUUGUAAAUCUGGUGAGAUCACAAGACAAACAGACAAAACACCCAGAGCAGUUUGAGAUCUUUCACUCCUCUGUUUGGUGAAUUUACAUGUGGGAGGAGAUGGAGGUCAUCUCCACCCUGCAGAUGGUGUUUUUGCCCAGAUCCUGGACCUGCGAAGAUGGCAGAAACCCCUCCGCUCUGCAGCCGUCGGACUGAGGAGAGGAGGGGUUGCUACGACUUCCACGUCCACCGGCCACCUGCCGGGCAGCAUGUUAGGGUUGCUGUCUCUCACGGGAGAAGAUUUUAUUCUGCUACUUUUACUUUUUGUUCACUUUCACUAACAGACUUUCAGAACUUGUUCAAAGAACUUGUGAAGAUCUCUGUGGAAACAGGUGAAGAGUGCGAUGUUAUUUUUGAGCAGGAGGGAGGAGGAGGAGGAGGAGGCGGCGGCGGCCCAGGAGAGUUGAAUGCAGGAGCACAAAGGAGUGAAGGAGGCUGUGCUGAAUUGGUUUGACUACAGAGACGAGUUGGCUCCCAGUGACUCUCCGCGGUCCUGCCGGCCUGGCCGUUGCUUAGUAACUGGUGUUUUCAGUGCCAGAUAAUGUCUGAAAGGCCGGGUGCCUCACCACACAGCCGUUCGGCAGCACAUCUGCUGCCAGCUCAGCUCUGAGGGGACGGAGGAGAAACACAAGACAUGUCCAUGAGUAAUACAACACAGGCAGGCUGUUCCUGAGCUUCGAUUUCUCUGGGUUUGACACAGAACAGACAGCGAGCUGGAAGCCUCCUGGUUUGCUAAAAAUGGAGGGAGCCUGCCAGAUCCACAGGUGGGUCUGUCGACUCAGCCUCAGUGUGUGUGCUGCACUUUACAAGCCUCAUCUCCACAGCCUGAAGUUUACACAGAGACCACCUGCUGUGCUUCAGGCUCUGUGUGUAACAUGAUGCAGCAGGCGCACAGACAUGGAUAUUUUCUACUGGUCGUUUAAAGACACAUCAAGGAGAAAGACACGUUCCAGAAGGCGACCUGCACACACUGCUGUAAUGGGUGUCCUCAUGGUCGGAGGUCCCGUCAGUCCUGCUCUGAGCCAUCGAGCUGAAAAUCCCCCUGAGCAGAGAAAUGGUUUGAAACUGGUGAAAAGACUCAGAAGGAUAUGAAAGGCUGCCAGAGGAAAGUUUCAGAGGGAGGCGUCGGUGCACACAGCAAAUGAUGGGGCUUUUGUUUUCCAGGUUUAUUUUGAAUUAAAGGCUCAAAAUGGUGGUUGAAUUCAACUCUGCUGCUUCAAAUAUGAUCCUGGUCCUGGUGGGGCUCCUCAGACCACCCCACCACCGCGUCCACUCUCCCUGCAGCUGGGCUGAAAACCUCCAAGCUUGUUUCUGCCUCCUCUUCCUCUUCCUCAGUGGGACUACAUCUUCACUCCGCUCGGUGAAUCUCUGAAAGUCUUCACGGCUCUCCAGAGGAGUCCUCUGCAGGGGGGGAAUUAUGUGAGGCCUCAGUGAAUACAGCUUUGGGGGGAUUUCUUUUGGUGGAUAAAAGUCAUGGGGUUUUGUCGUUUCUGGGAACGUAUAGAGACGUGGGCUCCGUCUGAUCCCACGUGGGGCCUUCCAGGCAUCAGAGUUUGAUGAGGCCGUCUGGGUUUGGUACCCAGCAGGACUUUGUCAACACACAGAUGAGGAUCACUGGAGACCUCCACCUGCAUAAUGUCACAGCCACUUAGAAAACCAUCAGCCCGUCCUUAGUCCCUCCAGUUCAAAGCCUUUAGUUGCAGAGUUAAUGUGUUUUCUUGCCAUCUUUACUUUGUGUCAGCGCCGACUCCCCUGCCUCAGAAAGUGUCAGGAUUUCUGGGAAAUGUGCAGAUGAGUUUCCAGAGCAACACAAACCUUAUAUGUUGUCAAUCUGCAGGCUCUGGAGGCUGGAGUUUGGGUCAGCGUCUGUUUUGUUUCUUUUUGUCUCCAACUUCAGCUCCACUAACCUCUUCCUCUUUAAAAAAAAUCCCAAUUCAAAUGGUUGAAAAGAAACCGUUAAUCGAACAGACUCUCCCCAGACCUCUGUUGUCUUGGCCUGCUUUUGUCCACUCUCAUUAUAACAUUUUGUUGCUGCCCAGAAAGCAGCUGCCUGACCUCCAUCCUCAGGGUGACAGCUCCUCCAGUCCAGGUUACAGAACAGGCAACAAGAACAGCCUCUCAGCUCUGACGAGGUUCAGGUUUUUAUUUAUACAGUAGAUGAACUCAUGUUAAUGAUGGAAGCUUUUGGGUUUUAGAAAAAUUCCAGCCAGAGGAGCUGGAAAAUGUUGCAGGGGAGGGAGACGUCUGGACCAUCGUGCUGAACCUGCUGCCACCGUGACCAGGUCAUCGCGACCCAUAAGCAAAAGAAAAAUGGAUGGAAAAUCCACAAAACCACAGAGAUAGUGGUGAUAAUGACGAUAAGAAGAGGAGCCUGGAUGGAGCUGAACAUGGAAGCAGGCUGCAGUCACCAUGUGUGAUGGGCUGACUCUUCCAUCAUCCUUCUGUCUUCACAGUUUUUAUCCAGAUGCUGGAUUUUCUUGCUCCUGAAUGCAGCUCUUCAGUCACCCUCAUGUAUCUUCGUGUCUUACGUGAAGCAGCUGAUGGAAGGAUCCUCUGAUCUUGUACUGACAAAGUCCACGCACGCACGCGCGCACACACACACACACACACACACACACACACUUUACUGUACUUCUAUACUUAUGAAAACACUUUCACUUUGUCCCCAACCAUUUUACAGAAAUGCCUGUUUGCCAAAACUGUCCUCAUGUGGUCCCCACUUCUUCACUUUUGCUAAAAUUACUUUCCAAAAAAAGUUCCAGUUUUAUUUCCAAAAUGUUCCUAAUUGUGAACAUGUGUCCUUGCCUUCCAGAUAAGGUCCUCAUUUUUCCAAACGAUUCUCACUUCAGAAAAAAUGUUAUUAGUUCCUGAACAUUUACAGAAAUGUCUUCAUAAUGUCUGCACUUUACUGAAGGAUUUCACUUCUGCAGAAAUAAUCUUACUUUCCUGAAAUGUCCUCACUUUGCAGAACAUCCUCCUUUUCACCAAGUGUUGUCACGUUAGAAAAUGACCUUGCUCAGAGGUGUGAAAUGCUAAUUAGUCUCCACAGAGACACAAGUGCAGGCACAGCAGUGAGGACACACACACAGUUAUACACAGCAUAAACAUGUGAUCACACCUACUGCCUUCGUUUUCCGUGCACCUCUUGUAAGCACAUGCAGCUUAAUGAAAAAUACACGAUGAUACAGUGGACACACUGCUUGUAUGUCUCCACACACACAACACUCGCUGUCAGACAGCAGAUCACUGCCGAACUAAACCCUCCACCUGCCUCCAUCCUGCCCCCUUCCCCCGUCCCUCCCUCCCUCCCUCCAUCCUCGUUCCUCCAUCUCGGCCGUUUUCUAAACUGUCGUUUGGCUUUACAGGUUCGACAGGUAAAAUACGUUUGCUUUGCUAACAUGUACGUAUAAAGAAAAGCCAAAGAGUAGAUAAAGGUAGAAGGACCAAAGAAGAAGAGCUUUCUCCGAACGAGGCGUCUCGCUCUGUCUUAUCUCUUCAGCUCUUCUUUUGCUCAUGUCUCCCUGAAAGAAGAAAAACUCUCAUUGCUCUGCUGUCAGCUGCUGCAGGAGCCAAAAUACAGCUGGCAUUUAAUUAAGAUGCAGUUAUACAGUGUACGGCUCCAGACCAGUUGGUGUUACGCUGUGGGGACAUCAUCCUGUUCCUACGCCAAAGGGACUCACCUCCCAUUUGGGUGCAGAUAAAGAAGUUUGAGCGUUUUCUUUAGGAUUAAAGUUGAGAUUGUUCCUGGUUUAUCUCUCCUUAAAGCUUUAGAUAGAAGGUAGUCUCUUCCUCAAAGAGAAAGAACGCUGGCGUUUACUUUGUGGGGACAUCGGCCUGUUCCUUCGCCACAAGGACUCACCCCCCCAAGCCUUUUCCGAAGGUUUAAGGUUUAGCUUUUGCGUAGUUUAUCUGUUCUCUGAGUGAAUAGUUGUGUGGUUUAAGUCGUGAUAAAUUAUGUGGCCACUCAAACGAUUUAGGGCGCUGCUUGUGUAUAGCUGAAAAUCUACUCUGGCACUAAGGGACGUGUCGUCAGCCUAAUGGUCGCCCCAGGUUUCCCAGCAUAUGAAACCAGAGUUUCCCUUGGGAGACUGGGAGAGCUGCUGCUGGUGUACUUUGGCCUGUUUGUCUUUUUUCAACCUGUUAAAACCAUUUUUGGCCUCACUCAUUGUGUGAUGCAGUGACACUGCUCGUUUUCCCUGAAGCUUAAUAUUCUAUAAAAAUGUAAAUGUAGUUUUUCUCCUGCCACUAGCCGAGGCACUCUUUAUUUCUGCUGUGUUCAGGUGCUGCCAUUAUAAACUGCUGAGCAGAAACCAGGGGGUUACUGUCUUUGGACCCCUUUGUAGGCAAGUUUCAUUCAUAGGGAUGAAAAAAUGAAUUAGCACUGUUCAUAGACAUACAUUCAUAAAAUUAGCAGAGUCCAUGCAGCGGUGUGCACCAACAAAAGGCCAAAUGCGUCUCACUAAAACAAAGCAGAGUUCAUAAUAAAGGCAGACUUUUCAUUCUGUCUGAGCCUCAGUUUAUUAGUUUGUGACUAAGAAUGUGACACAGUGAAAUUUGGUAAAUGCACAAGUUUUUCAAAUCACUUGUUUGCCACUCACUGUGUUCAGUAACUGCGUGCUGCUUCCACGAGGCCCGGUGAUUUCAUUGGCCCCUCUGACUUGUGCAGGGAUGCAAAGCAUGUUUUCUCCCUGAGGGUUUAUAUACCGCAAGUUCCUGUUGCCUUUAGUUGUUCACCAACAGACGUUGGAACCAGCCAGUCUGAGCUCUACCAGCGCCGUUAGUCUGACGUUUAAAUGUCUCUGCCGGGUGUCAACAGAGCUACUACCUGCCUAACCGGCACACGCAGACAGAUGGAAACAGAACUGAGCUCCUACCGUUGUGAAGAAAAAGCCUGGCUCCCUCUCAGUCGUUUUCUGUUUUUCUUAUUCAAGCUGGAGACAAAAGACCUGCAGGAAAGUUGAGCUGAAUUAAGAUCAACAUGACAGAGUGACACACCUAGUCCAGCCUCCAUGGCUAAAGGCGGCAGCGGAGCCACGGGCCGAGCUCCAUCCUGCAGCAAAACCAGAACAGAAGCCGUGCAGGUUAGAGCCCUGUGAUGAGCACAGAGAGAAUGGAGGGUCACACGAGUCCUGGUACAGGAUGUUUUGUAAAUUCACACAGACAACAGGGUAAAAAAAAGCUUUUUGACAUACUUGGUCAUAAACAUUAUGUUGACUCUGUGUAAAAAAUCAUGUAACAGAGUUAAAAAUUCUUGCAUUUUAUUUUCUUAAUGAAUAUUCACUGUUUAAAAAUGAAGCAGUUUAUUGUAGAUAUCAAAAAGUCUAGUUCACACAUUUUACACUAAGAGUCACAGCUAGAACAGUUCUCCACAGAAAAGACUCUUAUUUAUUUUCACAUUCUAAAAUAAAUUAGUUGUAGUUAAACACAUGGUUACUCGUCAUGUUUGACCUUGUACUUUCAUGGCUCAUUUUCAUCAUCUCGUUUCUUCUAGAAAGAGACGAAGGGUCUCGCGUUGUCACAGACUCAUGGCGAUGAACCGAUCGGCUUGUUGUUCUCGGUCUCAUUUCAAAUCACGUCUUCAGUACAAGUUUUUGUCUGAGCCUUCGUCUCAUCCCUUUAAUUCUGCUGACUGCCUUUCUGCUCCUCCUCCUCGCCUGUCCGCCUCCCUUUGCUUACUCAUGCUCUUCAUCAUCCUGUCUUCCUCCCACACCUUCAUCCCUCUUAAACUUCAGUUCAGCCUCUCACUCCUUCCUCCUCCUCCUUGCCUUACACUAAGCCUGUUUACAUAAGAUAAGAAGCUCCAGCAGCUCCAUCGCUGCUGUUUUUUACCCUUUAAGGGACUUGAGACUCCUUUCCUCUUUUCUGAUGAGGCUUUCUUUUCCUCUGUGUUAAAUUUUGGGAAGUGCCAGUGCUUCUGAGCUGAACUUUACACUCCAGCUGUCAUUUUUCUUCACACUGUACUCAAAGGGGAAAUCCACCAGAGUCAUGGACGGAACAGUGAAGGGGCCUCCCAGACACAGGGUCAGGGGCCUGAGGGGCCGGAGGGGGCCAGAGCCUCUGUCCCAACCGACUGUUAAUAUUUCCUGAUGGAAACUCAGUCAAACAAAGAGAUGCAAAAUGGUCACAAAACUACAACAAGGAGACACAAAACAAUCACAGAGACUCAAAGAAACUUGAACAACCAGGAAGAGAUGCACAACAGCUACAAUGUGACGCAAACCCAAAACAACAGAGGCAGAAAUCAACAACCAUAAACCAAAAACAGCUGCAAAACUACCACAGAGAGACAAAAUGACAACAAAGAGACAGAAACAACAGCUUUUUUCCAUUUCUGAACAUUAUAACAUUUCCUAUGAGAAUGUUACAGAGCACAUCACUGGGACUGUUCUGCAUGUGUGUGCUUUCAAUGGGUGAGGUUUUAGGUGGAUUUUCCCUUUAAUCACUUCCUGUUGACUGUGUGUCUGCCCUGAAACUGUGAAGUCUCUCAUUUUCAGUGCAUUUGUUAACAAGUAAGUGACAAGCAGCUCCUGUUUCUCUGGUCUGUGUUGUGGCUUUGACGAAGUUGUCACAAAAACAAUCAAAACUGUAUUUCUCAGCGUUUUGUACGAGUCCUGUGUCCGUCUCUCCACGGCGUUUCAUUACCUGGUGACGACAGGUGAAGGUCUGUUUCAAGUCCUAACUGAAACCAACUGUGGAAACACUGUCUGAUGUGCUUUCUUCUCAGUGCUGUAGAUCAACCUGAAGGUAUUUUAUCAAUGCAGAGCUUUAGUGUUGAUAAAGAUUUAAAUGGAUGCUUCAUGGACGUGUCAGCUCUUUGUUUUGUGGCUCUGCACUCAGAAGCAGACUGAGCAGAAACACCACCGGCCACUUUACACAAGUUCUGUGAAACAACAAAUACAAGUCAGCAGUAACAUUUGGUCUGUGUAUCGUCUGGUUAAUAAAAGACGAGUCUGGUCAUUUUCUGUUCCCAUCCAGACAGUGAAACCAGCAGGGCCUCUGUUCACUGCUGAUAAAAACCCUCAGGAAACACACCGCUGCACAGGGGGGCAGGUUCCUCAGUAUGUAAUACCAGACCCUCAUGUUUUUUAAAACAUUGCAACAAAAGGUUUUACAGCAUCUGAAGCAGGCCAGAGCCGAGACCAAAUGUCAGUCUCUGGUGUUUCAUACUGAGGAAACGUGUGCAGCGGUGUGUUUUCCACAGGUGCUUUAAUCGUUUUUAACCACCAACAGAGGCCUGUGGCCCAGACGAACACAUUGAGCCAGACAUUAGCAGUGAGGAGAGGCCCUGCUGAUGUCAGUUUCUGGGUGGGACUGUUGGAAACAUUGUUAAAACAGAAAAUGACUGGCAUGCUCUAUUAAUCUCUUCCCUUUGGAAAACAGCAAAAUGUCAACAAAACAAGUCAAUUCACCAUUUGAAAGUGGGACCCAGUGAACAAAAACCAGUUGGGCUGUGGGCUGUAACGUUAGGAGUUCCACUCACAGAGACGUCCACACAAUGAUGUGCUGUUACCAGAUUUGUCAGAGAUGUAGAGUUUAGCAGCUGAAGAGCACAGAGCGGUGAGCUGUAAACAGACUGACUCAACACGUUCCCGUCACACAGCGACAUCUAGUGUUGAUGUGUGAGUCAUUAGCUUUCUACUGUAACAUCAUCACAUGACCAGAACGAGGCCAGCACUGGUCACCCUCCCUCAGUGGGGGAGGGGGUCACGCAGGCAGCUGAUACACACCAGGCAAACUACACAACUACAUUGUCUGUGUGGGUUCAGUCAGGGAGGGCUUCAGGGAAUGAGGGAUACUGUAGUUAUUAACAAACUACAUGUCACAUGCAGACAUCACACAGGUUGGGACACCCCACCCCCACCCCCUCAGAACACUGACAAUGUGUGGUGCAUAACUGUUUUUAACAGUGAAGCUCUGGUUGUUUCUGUUGUUGUAACCGCGACUCCUCCUGCAGCGCCAGCCGUCUGUCAUCGACUCUGAUCAUUUAAAUGUCUGACGGGUUUAGACAACUGGAAAACCAGAAACAACAGGUUUUUGUUUAUUUGGUUUAUUAGAACAGAAAAAAACAAAGUUUCCUUUUUCAAUAGAUUUUUGAAUAGAUGAUACAUGGACCAAAAUUUACUCAUGAAAUCAAACAUUUUCAUUUGAAAAUCAGAUUUUUUUUAGACUCCAGGUUUUUAAUGUGAAUUUGCCAAAAACAUAUUUUUAAAAAAAAUCUGUAUUUUUUUCACUUUUCAAACACAAAAGCCUUAUUUGUGUUUUUAAACAUAGGAUUUCAAAGUCCAGAAAAUAAUUUGUCCAUCUAACCUACAUUGUUUCAACGUGAUUAACAAAAUAGUCAGUAGUUUGUUUUUAUCCAUUUUGAAGUUGGAUGUUUUCUUUCAGAUGCAGAACUUGAAACUUUACCACAAGAAUAAAUGAGUAAAUGUAGAUAAUGUAUGUCACUGCAGUUGUAGAGUGUGCAUGAUUUUCACAGUAAAAGGUUUUGGUGUCAUCCUGGAAUGAGCAGACUUGUUUCAGACCCACACCAGCGGCCUUCUCACUCAGAGCUCUUCUAUAUUUUCUACGUGGCUGAAAGUUGUGGUGUCUAAACUGAAGUGUAUAUCUCUUCCUGCCUUCUGUCCGAGCUCCUGUGAGUCCACGCUCUUGUUUUGUAAAGAAAUAAAACUGGGUUGUGUGUUUGA